UCUGAACCAUUCAUUGCGCGACACAUGUCCGGAUGUCAGCCCACGUCGUCCACCUCUCCGUUUCGAACCAGCGCGCGGGAGCUUCUCUCUCUCCUCUCUCCCUGGCCCACCUCUCUGCACCUUCUGACGCUCUGCUCUCCUCUCUCUCCUCUCUUUCUCUCUCCCCGUUCUCCGUUCCGUUGCGGGGAGGGAGAACAAAAUUGCGACGGUUCAGGAAAACAUAAAGUUCGCUCUGCUCUCUCUCUCUCCCCCCUUCGACGGCCCUCCACCUCCGCCUCCGCCGGUUGCCUCCGUCGCCCCCGACGCCGACGCCGACACCGACGCAGCCUACGCCUCCCUCUCGUGACCUCUGGUCGGCUUUAUCUCUCUUUCGUCCUCGAAGGCACGCCUCUCUGCCAGCAAAUCGCGACGCCGACGCCCCUCCGCCGGUUGCCUCCGUCGCCCCCAACUCCGAGGCCGACUUCUCCGCCUCUGCCUCCGCCUACGCGGCCGACGCCGACGCCCCUUCGCCUCCCUCUCGCGACCUGCGCUCCGCUUUCUCCCUCUUUUCUCUGCGGAGCGCCCUUACUGGCCAACCCCGACGCCGACGUGCUCUCGCGUUUUGGCCUCCCUCUCCGCGAGCGAAGGUCGCGCUGCUCGCUCUUUCUCUCUUUCCUCCACGAAGCGCCUCCUGCUCCUGAACGCGGACGCCGCCGACGCCGUCGCCUUCCCAAGCCCCACCGAUAGGCGGCCCAUUGGCGACUCCCGUACGUCCGAAGGAAUUGGAUGUGGCCAUAGUCAAAGCGACGAACCACGUUGAGUGCCCGCCCAAGGAGAGGCACCUCGGCAAGAUUGCCUUCGCGACCUCGGCGGUUCGCCUGCGGGCUGACGUCGCCUACUGUAUCCAGGCCCUCUCCAGGAGGCUCACCAAGACGCACAAUUGGACGAAAAAUAUUUAAAGACUAAAAAAAUCCGAGAAGCAGAAGAGGCAGCAUGGCGCUCAAGAAUAACAAAGACUGUUAUAAGGGUACGGUUUCCUGAGAAUCAUACACUAGAGGCUACAUUUCAUCCGUAAGAGAAAAUAGAGAGUUUGAUUGUUCUCCUCGAGAAAGUGGUAGCUAAACCUCAACUGCCAUUUUAUAUAUAUACUGCUCCACCCAAGAAGCAAAUAAAAGACUUGUCUCAGGACUUUUACUCUGCCGGCUUCAUUCCUGGUGCAAUAGUUUAUUUUUCACAUGACACUCGGAAAGGAUGGUCGAAUCAGUUAUGAUGAAUUCAAGGCCAUGAUGAAAAUGGGCAUGGAGUGGAAAAUGGCUUCACACCAGUAGUCAAGAGCGAUGCUGAACGCGCUUAGUCAAAAGAUGUUCAAAGACAAACCUUCUUCUCUCAUAGGCUAAAAGAUGUUUCACCCAUGGCUUCUCUCGUAGGGUAUUGGGAAGGAGGCAUUAUACAAUAUAAUUGCAUUGGUUUGCUAGUGCAGGGACAUAAGUGCUGUGAAAAUUUUGAAGAAAUUGGGUAUAAAUAGUCAGAUUCCUACACCUCUUGG